GAACCCGACGAAUUAUGGCUCGCAGGGACCAAUGUGGUGAACGACAAUGUUACAGAUACUCGCCUUGCCACCGCACCGGAGUCUGACAAAUCUCGACGUAAAAAGAAGCGCAGAAGACCCAAAGCACGGAGCCCUCUCUUAGCAACCCCUGAUAAAGUUCAAGAACAACAAAUAAAAUCCCAAAGACAGCAGCAGCAAAAGUCAACAGAGAGCUCGAAUGGAAGUGCCGAACGAAAAAUUUAUAACCGAACAUUACCAGUUGAAGGUUGCUCUAGUAACAACUCCCAAAGUAAUGGAAUAGACAAUGUGAACAGCACGUUGAGCCAGCUGAAAAUUGACGAGACCUCUGAUCGCACUAGAAAUGCAAGCCAGGCGAGUAACACAAGUUCUGUUCUGUAUGAUUACCUGAGCAUCUUUGAUUCAGAUUCAGAUGACG